UCUUCUACGCAAACAAAUCUCUCAUCUCUCUCUCUCUCUCUCUUUCUUUCUCUGCAACACAAGCGUAUUAUUAGUAUUGUUAUUAUUCAGAGAUUUCAUCAUCUUCAGGGAGAGGACAUCGUACUGAUGGCGAUUUCGUUUUGUUUGUGGUGAGCAGUGGUUGUUUAUCCAUCACCGGAAAGCCGUGACGAAAUAGGUGAUUACCGGUGGUUGUGGUUUUCGUUACAGAUGCUUCCCAUCGCUUCGUGAACCAUACAAGAAAGCAUCUAGGGUUUUUCUUCCCUUGCUCGAUUGUUAUCCGUGUUGUCGAGACCAAGAAUGAGGAAGAGGAUCGGCCCUCUCUCUGUCUUAAUUAAUGAUCAAGCAAAGUCCCCGUUGCAGACUGAAACCGCCACCAGUCGUUCCUAUGUCUGACGAGGAUCGCAUCUUCUACGCGUUGCCGGUCCGCCAAUUUCUGAUUCAAAUCACAUCAGCGAAGACCAUGGCAACAAGCUUGCUCGCAGCAAAGAGGUCAUGUCUUUAAUUGUUGUUGGUAACUAUUUGGAGAUUGCAACUCUGCUACCCAUUUCGAGAUCAAGAAUUCUCAGUAUAAGGCAAUAAUGAUGGAUGCUUCUUCGUUAUCAGCCGGAGAGAAUUGUGAGCCGAACGACACCAGUUUCACUCGAGGUUAUCGUGUUGUUAUUUAAUGGUACGUUUCCUGAUUUUUUUAUUUUGUUUCCUUAAGUUCUGGUCGAUUUCACCUACAAUCGCAUUUAUUUGGAUUGUUUCGUGCCUGUGUUGGUGGUUAUUGA